GGGGAUUUAGCUCAGUGGUGCCGCCGCCUGCCUUGGAAGCACAAGGACCCAAGUUCAAUCCCUGGUAUCCCCA
rnacentral:tRNA from 1 species